UACGUAGGGUGCAAGCGUUGUCCGGAAUUAUUGGGCGUAAAGAGCGUGUAGGCGGUUUGGUAGGUCCGCUGUGAAAACUCGAGGCUCAACCUCGAGACGCCGGUGGAAACCAUCAGACUAGAGUCCGGAAGAGGAGAGUGGAAUUCCUGGUGUAGCGGUGAAAUGCGCAGAUAUCAGGAAGAACACCCGUGGCUAAGGCGGCUCUCUAGUACGGUACUGACGCUGAGACGCGAAAGCGUGGGGAGCAAACAGG
rnacentral:rRNA from 1 species